AAUAUUGGACAAUGGGGGCAACCCUGAUACAGCCCUGCCCCCUGUGUGAAGAAGGUCUUCGUAUUUUAAAGCACUUUAAGUCGGGAGGAGGGGCUUUAGGUUGAUCCCCUGCAGUUUUGUCGUUACCAACAGACUAUCCACCGCCUAACUCUGUGCCAGCAGCCGCGGUAAUACAGAGGGUGCAAGCGCUAAUCGGAAUUACUGGGCGUAAAGCGCGCGUAGGUGGUUCAGUAAGAUGGGUGUGAAAUCCCCGGGCUUAACCUGGGAACUGCUUUCAUAACUGCUGAGCUAGAGUACGGUAGAGGGUAGUGGAAUUUCCUGUGGAGCGGUGAAAUGCGUAGAUAUAGGAAGGAACACCAGUGGCGAAGGCGACUACCUGGACUGAUACUGACACUGAGGUGCGAAAGCGUGGGGAGCAAAC
rnacentral:rRNA from 1 species